CAUUGUCAUUAUUAAGAUUAAGGUGUUGUGUGUUUUAUUGACAUGAAAAUAAUGUCACAAUAUUGUAAACGUGCGUUGGUUUAUUUAUAUCUUUACAUUUUAAGAACUGUUUAGUGGAGGAGACUGAAUAUAUACUAAAUGUUUUCUAAAAAGCUCUGCAGCACUGUGCGUGUGCUGACGUUUUGUUCAAAAAACAUGUAUUGCAUAUGGAAACAAAUAUAUGAAGCGAAUCGCAACAGUUAGGGUUCAUGUAAACAGCUUUCUGAAUCAAAUCAGAGUAAAAUCACUGGGAUUGAUGAACAGAGCAUGUAAACAAACCUACUGUGAAACAUGAUAGUACCCUUCAUUUGCUGAAAAGAAAACAAGACGUGGUACGUAUUUCUGCUGCUUUGUGUGUGAAAUAUGAGGCGUCACAUGACCGAUGUGUGUCUGCAGUGUUCAGUCACUAACAUUAUCACUGUCAUUAACCCCGUCAGCUCACAUCUGCCUGUGUGUGUGUGUGUGUGUGUCGUCUCAUCUGUCUGAGGUCCGUGUGUGUUUUGAUCAGAGCAGCUGAUGUUGCAGCGUUUGUAUCGUAUUGCUUGUCAUCUCUCAUCUCAUUUGUGUUUGUGUCCGUCUCUGUGUGUCUGUGUGUGUGUGUGUGUGUGUGUAGCUGCACCUCGUUAGAGAGCGUGAGCUCACAGAACACUAGGGUGGGGAAGAAAGCGGAGUCUAGCAACGACAACUCCCGCUGCUCCAGCCCCUCCGCCCCUGUACAGGGGCCGGUGAUUUACGCCCAGCUCGAUCACUCCGGCAGCAAGAUCUCCUUCCACAAGAUGGAGCCGGUGGUGUACGCAGACAUCCGCAAGAACUAGAGCGCCGUGGCACGUGACUGGUCAGACGGAUGAUUAUUAUUUGUACUGCACAUUCCAUGAGGCCUGUGGUGCUGGUUUGAUUCUGUAGUGCGGUUGCAAAUCCUGCGCUGUGUCUGAUUCAGCCUGCAGCACUAUCGCGUCACAUGAUCAUGUUAACUGGAACAGUGUGGAUGAGAGUGCCUUCAUCGACUAACGCCUGUUACACACUUCUGUGUUUUCUUGUUUUAUUGGCCUUUUGUAUAUGAAAACAGCCGUUUCUGUCUAAUUUUAUACAUGCAUAUAUAUAUAAAUAUAUUAAACUGAA